CACAUAGAAACAGAAAAAUGAUCACUGUAGAUUGUAGUUAGCUAUGCCACGUCGGAUUGAAAAUUGGUGGCUAUUUUUGCAAGUUUAUAUCUUUUCUUUCCCUUUUUUUUUCCUGCCGCUAGAGGAAGCUAGAUUCCGACUCAGAAGAUGCAAUGAAUCUGGUCUUUUUGUAUCGUUUUUUGAUUGAUUAGUCUGAUGGGUUCAUCUGGUGUAGUUUCAUAUGGUGGAGGUCGAAUUGCAUGUUCUUAUUUUCCCCCCUAAUCAACUUUAGAAUCGUUUUGAAUUUUGAAUUAUGUAUAAUUUUCCCUCCUGAUUGAAUUUCCUCUGAUCUACUUGUCUAUAAAUUGGGGAUGGGUAAGAGUUGCAAUGCACAAAUUGAGACCAACAGAGUAUAGUGAGAUGGUUAUACCUUUAUUGAUUGUUGCUGAAGAUGUGGAAAGUGAUGCCCUUGCAAUUCUUAUCCUAAAUUAGCUUCGCGCUGGAAUCAAGGUAUGUGCCAUCACAGUCCAUGGUUUUGGUGAAAAUCGGAAAUCUGGUCUCCAGGAUCUUGUUGUUCUAACAGGAGGUCAAAUUACAAUUUCCAAAGAUGACACUGUCAUUCUUGACGGUGCCGGUGAUAAGAAAGCUAUCGAGGAAAGAUGUGAGCAGAUUAGGUCGACGGUUGAAAAUAGUACUUCAGAUUAUGACAAGGAGAAAUUGCAAGAAAGAUUGGCCAAGCUUUCUGGUGGUGUUAGGGAUGGUAAGAUUACUAAAAUGGUCGUCGUUGAGCUUACUGAUCAUAGGUAAAUGUUAUUUAUAUUUAUAGUGUAAUCAUCGCAAAUUUUAUUUUGCAGUAUUAUAAUUGUUUUGUUUAAUUUUGGUCAUGGUUAUGAUAAACAGUGGUAAGUGUGAAUGUGCUUUGUUUAGUGAUUACGUUGACGAGUUGAACAAGAAAAUGGGGAAAACUUGCAAAAUUUUAAUUUUUUUUAGAGAUAAUGUAUUAUUAUAUUUGAAUUAGUAACUUCUCAAAUUUUCCACUGAUUGAAUUAGUUGUGUCCAGACAAAUCAUCCAUCCAAGAUGUCAUUAACACUACAAGGAUAUUGAUUAAUCCAGAUAUACCUGAGGUCGAAGCAUUCAAGAACAGGUUUGUUUCAUUUCUAAUAAAUUAUUGAUGUUGAGUGAUCGUGUAGUUGUGUUUGUCUUUGAUAAAGAUGUUCAGAAUUUGGCUGUGGAGACUUGUCCUCUUUUGUUAUCAAUGGUGGGUUGUGAAAUCUUUUAUUUUUAUGGUUAUAGCUGUUCAUAUUUAAAGACAUUGUCUAAUGUGUUUUGCAGGGAGAGAGCUCUUCCUUCUAUCCAGAUGAGAUGGAGUGCUUUUACGGUGAUGCAAUGAAGUUGGUGUUGUGAACAUGUUCUUUGAUGAGUUUAUCCCAAAUGUUGAUAACUUUGUUGGUAUCUUGAAUCUCUAAAUUUGUUGUGUAUUGUUUCAUCGUUUGAUUUAUCUGCUGAUUAUGGUAUACUCAAACAGAUUGAAACUCCAAAUUAUGAGUCUAUCAAAGAGGAGUUGAGUGAAGGCCAAAUUCUUUAUUAUUCUUUUUUUUUGGUCAAGAAAUUAUUUAUUAUUCUUCCUGUGAAUCUAAAGAACCUGCUGAUGGUGAUGUUGAUUCAGGUCUUUCUUCCUAAUUUGUUGAUGGACGAGUGCGUAAAAAUGUAUUGUAUUUUUUAUAUUAGUUUGUAUCAUUAAUUUGUUUGAGUUAAUAUCAAUUUAUGUCUUAUUUAUUUUUAUGCAGGUGUCAUUUGCAAACCAAGUGGACAAUGGAGAUAAGAGUAGAACUCCAUUUCCAGGUCAUUCUUGCUUCCAACGUGAAAGAAGAAACUCAAAGAAUGGCAUGUCAACCUAUAUUGAGAAGUUUGUUUAUUCUAGGAGGAAAACCUGUGUUAAAAGAAAGCUUAGGUUUAGGUUUGAUGAUAAUGGUGAAGAUGCUAUGAACAAGAGCAAAAAAAAAAAAAUAUAUUUUAGUGAAAAUAAAUUUGUUAAGGAAGGAGUGUGAGAAGAAAAAAGAACUAUCACAUGAAAGUUGAGCAUUUUAAACCUCAAUUGCAUGGCCUAUAGUAUGGAUUAUACCCUGGUACACUCAACUUCAAAUGAUCUCCAAUGCAGGAGGCAUUUGUAUAUGAUACAGGCAGCAAUUGGUCUAUUCCCAGCAAAGCCUAGAUGUUUUGCAAUACAUCUAAUGAGCAACUCUUGGUUCUCCUGUUGUUUCUCAUUCAGUGACUUCUGUGGUUUAUCCUCCACCUCAGCGGAUUCCCUUUCCCUUUGGUUCAUUGAUGAGCUAUGGCAUAUGUAGUGUUCUCAUCUGACAUAUAGCUAAGUUAGAAUUUGGUUUAAGUUAAUUUGAAGAAAUGUAAUGUAGUUUAUUUCCAGUGUGCUAUUGAAUGGAGUCAUGUUAUUGAAGUUGUUUGAAGAGGAUGACAUUGUUGAAAAUGCAAUUGAUGGAAAGCAAAAUAACAGUGAGUUUUUUUUUGAACAAAAUAGUGUUUACAUGAUAUCAAUUCCAUCACCUAUCUAUAGAAUUUAUAGCCCUUAUGUGCAGGAGUACUUUGACUAAGAGUUGAAAUUGAGCAUUUAAUUUCUUAUUCAAUUUUAGUGGUAUGCCCUGCACAAUAAAUAUUACUACUUUAAGUAGUUACUGGAAACUGUUUGUUUUGUGUUGCUCCAAAGAAUAAAAAUCAUCAAAUAUAUUUUAAAACUAUAAUGACUGUAAUUAAAAAAAAAAAAUACUGGGCCGUGCGAAUGCACGGGUAGAAAAACUAGUAUUGACACAAAAGAACCGUUUUUUGGCUACUGUAGAUUGCAUUUAGCCAUGCCACGUAGGAUAGAAAUUGGUGGGCCAUCUUCUACUGUUUUGGCUGUUCUUUUUUUUUUAUUUCUUCUUUUUCGCGUUGUGUCUAGAGCUAUUAUCCAUAGAUCGGUGGAUGCUAGGUUUUGCGACUCAGGAGAUGCAAUGAAUCCGGUCGAAUUGCAUCGUUUUGUUCUUGAUUUGUGCAGUAGAUUCAUCUGGUGUAGUUUCUUCUGGUGUAGGUCGAAUCUCAUCUGGUGUAGUUUUGAAUUUUGAAUUCUCUAUAAUUUUCCCUCCUGAUUGAAUUUCUUCUAAUCCACUUGUCUAUAAAUUGAGGAUGGGGAAGAGUCGAGAUGCAGAAAUUGAGACCAACAAAUUAUAGUUUGGCUUGGACAUGAUGGUUCAUAACGAGAAGGCGAAGGUGGAUGUCAAGUUCGAUGAUGUUGCAGAUAUAUUGCCUGGGAAAUAAAAUGUUUGUAUUAAGGUGAGAUGUCAUUAUUCUCUCUUUCAACCUAAACUGGAUACAAAUCUGAGAGCGUUUUUCAAAUUCAAAAAAUUGGGUUUUUUUAUUAGUUUUUUUUCUGCUAUAAAUUGGGAGGUUUGGACAAACAAACAAGGUUGCUCACACAAAUCUGUUUGCAUCUUCUUUAAUCAUGGAAAAGCUCUAAGCGGUAUUUUACCUUAGAAAGAGGGGAUUCGUAUUAAGGUUGUGUUUUGCGCUUGUGGAAAGUCCCGGCUUUCCUCAAUCCUUCGGAGACAGUUCAAUUGAAAUGGUGCUCGUGGAUGACAAGGUUCGACAUACAUUUUUUUCCGUCGAUAAUCAUGUUAUGUCUUAAAUAAAUGUUCCAUCAUGCUGGAGUUUUUAUUAUGUUCUGUUAUUCAUAAUUUAUAUGGUGUGUUUCAUUUGUUACGAAGGUAAAAUCCAUGCUUCUGAAGUUGGUAUCAUGCGGUCUGGAUAGCCACCAUCUAAAUAGACCAGAUAGAAUGCAGAACAACCCAGCCCGUGAUAAAGUCAAUUCUGUCAAGUGUAUAGAUAUAUGAGUCUUUAACCAUUGAAUUUCAUUAUAUGCACCACUUAGUUUCUAAGGUUAGAAAUAAUUAAGUUAUGUUUGUUUUAGUUUGACAUGAUUCUCCUUUAUUAUUUAAUAGAUGUAAUUGGUCUAAUGACUGGAAUUUCUGCUGAAAAAGAGUAUGUUAGGGAUGGUAAGAUAACAAAAAUGGUUGUGAUUGAGGUUAUGGAUCCAAGGUAUAAGUUUUUCAUGCUGCCCAUUUUGAUAUGAUGUUUAUGUGUUCAUAGGCUUAUUUGUGUGUUUUAUUUGCUUGAAUAGUGGGAAAUGUGAGUGUGCUCUAUUUGGUGACUAUGUUGAUGAUUUGAAUAAGAAGAUGGGAAAAUCUUCUAAAGGCCUUCCUGCAUAAGUUUUAUGAAUGGGUUAGCUAUUGACUGGAAGAAUUUAUGUUUUCCUGCAUACUUUUGUAAGUUGGUAUUAAGAUUCUAAUGUUCACAUCUUAUUUUGGUAGGAUUGCUCUUCAUGGCGUUGAUGUUGAUUCCAAUGUGCAUUUGAUUGGUGGGAGUGCAAAACCUCCACCUGAUGAAGAGUUUCUACGGAUGCAUCCUAAAAAGAAAAUAGAUGUGUGAAACAUAUAUUUCAAGUUGUUCCUAGGUUCAAGGUCAAGAUUGAAGUGAGCGAUGGUGAUUCUACUGCUGGAUUCAUUCUCUUUGAUUCUGACAUAAGUUAUUUGAUGGAGAAGUCAUGUGCUUACUUUGUUGCCCAAAGGCAUCAAAUGAAGGGGUUUAUCCCAUUGAAUUUGAUUUUCUGGUUGGUAAGAAGAUGGUUUUUACUAUCGAUAAGGGUGUGAAGCAAACAAUCAAAUUUGAUGGAUCAUUUAGGGUCAAAAGGGUUUGCUUAGAUGCAAAAAUUAUUGAAAUCUUUGUUGCCCAGGGCCAUAUGUUACUCAUGUCAAGGUUUUUACAAAACACCCUUUGUUUUUGUUACCUAUAUGCUUUGUCACUAUACUUCAUUUUGCUGUUCUUCACAAAUCCAUGAUUUUUUCUAUCUUAAUUUGGAGGCUGUGUCUCAGAUUAUUGAUGUUGAUUCAGAUGAAAUAGUAGAUGAUGUUGAUUUUGUGACCUCUCCUGCUGAAGUCCAAAAGAUUGAUACAAAUGAGUGUGUGCCAAUGACCAUGAAGAGGGACCUCAAUGAAUCUUUGAAUGUUGUAGCUCAAGUUGAAGGGAAAAAACAUUUGAGGAAAGUCAAGAUAGAGAAGGAAUGAAUUCUAUGGAUUUCAUGAAUCCUUGAUUAUCAUAAAUAAUUGGUUGUACCUCUUAUUAAGUUUAGUAUUGUAUGUGUGUUAUGUUGAGCUCAUUGUGAUUGUGCCUUAAAUAAUAGUUGUUUGUUCCACUGCAUUGCGUUUAUGUAUAUGCAGUGAUGUUUUGUCUCCUGAUAUGGAGUUGAAUGUUAUGUGUUCUCCUGUAUUGCUCUGAUGUGCAUGCAGUGAUCUUCAAUGUAUUAUAAGUUAUGAUAAUGAAACUACUUAGUUCUAUUUUA